CCAGCAGCUGCGGUAAUUCCAGCUCUAAUAGCGUAUAUUAAAGUUGUUGCAGUUAAAAAGCUCGUAGUCGGAAGUCGGGCUCGGGCAGGCUGUCGGCCUCGGUUGGGCAGCUUGCUUGGGUCUUCUAGCUCGGGGGCCCCGUGCCAUUUAACCGUGGUGCGCGGGAACACGGGCCGUUUACUUUGAAAAAAUUAGAGUGUUCAAAGCAGGCCUACGCUUGAAUACAUUAGCAUGGAAUAAUGGAAUAGGACUUUGGUGCUAUUUCGUUGGUUAAUGGGACCGAAGUAAUGAUUAAUAGGGACAGUUGGGGACAUUCAUAUUCCAUGGCUAGAGGUGAAAUUCUUGGAUUCAUGGAAGAUGAACUACUGCGAAAGCAUUUGUCAAAGAUGUUUUCAUUGAUCAAGAACGAAAGU
rnacentral:rRNA from 1 species